AUUGGAUCGAGGUCAAUACCCAGUAGACUUAUAUCUGUAUUUACAGUAAGAUUAUCUUGAAGAAAUUUACGCAGUUGAAUCAUAAAAAAAAUAAAUAAAAGAAAAAAAGCGAGACAUUGUGAGACCUUGAAGAUAACUCAGAGGCUGCAAAAAGAGGGUUCUUUAUUUAUAGACAAGAUUAAUUCACAGACGGCAUGUUUCAAAAAUUAAAAAAAAAAGGGACCGUCGUCAUCGGAAUCGUUGUCGUUGUCUCAUAAACUGGGUCUGCGGUGUAGUAAAACACCCAAGAAGAAAGAAGGGUUCCUAUCCUAUCUUCUAUCCAACAUAACAUCCAGUAAAAUAAUCUGGGCUCUAUUUUUAUACGACACGGCUAAAUAUACCAAUGAAGUAACUCAGCUAUGCCAGAUACCAGUCCAAGCAGAAGGCAGAAACAGAGGCCUAAGAUGCUAAGAGACUCAAUAAAACAUAUGAGCUGGCAACCGGUGCUGCUGUCUACCGAGAGACGCGGUAAAUUUAUUAUUGCAACAUACCUACGACGACCCUCAAUUGUGACGGACCCAUGUAGUCUAGAGGCUAGAGUUCUCAACUUAUUGCUUGGGUUGCUGCUCGUUUCGAGUAUAAUAUACAAAGCCAAAUGGCCGAUCAGACCUUACCUUCAACCAGACCUAUACUAAUAGAACACUGAACCGCAAGUCUGGUGAUGCAGAGUAUGGUUACAGGUACCUACGGUGGGAGAAAGAUUUGCCAACAGCGGAAGGAUCGCAGAUCGGGAUAAUUCGCGACUGUCCACGACCUAGAUUGCCGCCGUGUACUGGCCUUCUACGUUGGUCCUUGGGGUCAUGGUGGGCUCUAGAAAUCACCGCUAAUAUACCUUCAGAGUCACAUUAUACGUAGUCCGUAGACAAUGACCUGGUGAUGCUUAAAAAACGGAUCUAUAUCUUAUUUCAUUUGGUUCCUUUUAACGGUUCGUCCUGACGCAGGUAUGAAAUUGUUUGAACCACGAGAGCACGCGUGUCUACAUGUGAGUCUACUGAAUACGGAGUGUAAUCAGAGAGAAGAACCAGAAAACCAAAGGCAGGUGUUGGACACACCGGUCCUCACUUCUUAUUUUUCUUCUUAUAUUAUAAAAUGCAUCGACUAAAGACGUGGCAAUGCUUUGAUGUGAUGCGAGCGUGCCGCGCUCUGAUGCUUUCUUUAGUUCUUCAUCGGAGUUUUAUACCCUUACACCAUAACAUUUCAUUUCU
rnacentral:lncRNA from 1 species